GUACCUUUCGCCUCCCACCAUGAUUCUGAGGCCUCCCCAGCCAUGUGGAACUGGAAGGAUUCUGGAAGACAUAGGAGGAGACGCCAGCAUUUCGCCCUCCAGCACCUCCUGCGGGCUGUGGUCCGCUUCCGGCCUCACUCGAGCAGACCCCGCCCUCCCAGAGGCCGUUUGUCCAAGUCACGUGAUCGUCGAAUCUGUUGACCUGGCGCCACCGGAAAAAGAAAUUCCCGGGCCCUGGCUUCUUGGCCUGAUGGCACUGCUAGCCUUGAAGCCUCCAGCCUGCUGGAUGCCUCCAUCCCCGGCUAUGCUGUGGCUCUCCUCAUUCUAGGCCUCCUGCUCGUCACAUUCACCCUUGUCCUGGUGCUAAAGUGGAGGGCCUCCCAUGGGGUGUUCAGCCUGGGUGUGUAGAAGCACACAGUGUGGUACAGAGGACCCUCUCCAGACAGGUAAGUGGAGGGCGGUUCUCCCUGACCCCACCCCAAUUGUUUGUUCUGGGUGGGGUCCACCGCGCCCCCUGCCAAGGCCUUCUGCAAACACUCCCCAGGGGCUGUUGUGGGCAGCACCUGGGUGGUGCAGUUGGUGUGCCAGAAAAGCUCCCCAGUACUGGGCAGUGGCCCAGGCAGUCAAGCAGACUCCCUCAAGCAGGCCCCACCUACCCCUCGCCUGUUCCCAGCUGCCUCCCACCAACCCUAGAAAUGAUGCUGGGAGCUGACAGAAACUGAACUUAGGAGCACAGGAGGCCAGGAGACCUGGGACAGAGAACAGGAGGUGACCCCUCAUGCUGCUGCUCCCUCUGCUGAAACCCAAACUGCAAACCUCUCCUCUCCCUGCCUUCACCUUGCCCCACGGCUUCCACAGACAGUGCCUCAACCCCGAGGAAUGAAUCCGAAGUUCCAACACCACUGACUUUCCCAGGAACUCAGAGCCAGAGAGGGCCAAGGACCAGCUCGAGGACACACAGCCAGGGCUUCUUCCCUCCGAAACCCCCAAGGACUGGACUUGCAGGGCUGGGACAGAGGUGGGGUGGGGGAAAGCAAUGCCUUGUCAACCCACGUGGGGAGCCCCACUCCCAUCCCCAAGGUGCAUAAAGUUGAGGAACACCCCUGCUCCCACGUCCAUGCUCAUUCAGGGCCCUGCUCCAAGUGCUUGGCACUCACACCAGCCUCCUGCCCUCCACAGGUAUUGGUCUCGU
rnacentral:lncRNA from 1 species